rnacentral:tRNA from 1 species
GGAGAGGUGUCCGAGUGGUUUAAGGAGCCGGUCUUGAAAACCGGUGACUCCGUAAGGGGCCGUGGGUUCGAAUCCCACCCUCUCCGCCA